GACAGAGGGUGUAAACGUUGCUCGGAUUUACUGGGCGUAAAGCGCAUGUAGGCUGGAAUCUAAGUCGGGUGUGAAAUCCCUGGGCUCAACCUAGGAACUGCAUCCGAAACUGGAUUCCUGGAGUGGUGGAGAGGAAAGCGGAAUUCCGGGUGUAGAGGUGAAAUUCGUAGAUAUCCGGAGGAACACCAGUGGCGAAGGCGGCUUUCUGGACACCAACUGACGCUGAGAUGCGAAAGCGUGGGGAGCAAACAGG
rnacentral:rRNA from 1 species